rnacentral:rRNA from 1 species
AGCAGCCGCGGUAAUUCCAGCUCCAAUAGCGUAUAUUAAAGUUGUUGCAGUUAAAAAGCUCGUAGUUGAAUUUCGGGGUUAGCAGGUCGGUCGUGCCAUCGGUAUGAACUGGUCUCGCUGAUCCCUCCCUCUUGACGAACUGUGAUGCCAUUAAUUUGGUGUCGCAGGGAAUCAGGACUGUUACUUUGAAAAAAUUAGAGUGUUUAAAGCAGGCUCACGCUUGAAUACAUUAGCAUGGAAUAAUGAAAUAGGACGUUUGAUCCUAUUUUGUUGGUUUCUAGGAUUGACGUAAUGAUUAAUAGGGAUAGUUGGGGGCAUUAGUAUUCAAUUGUCAGAGGUGAAAUUCUUGGAUUUAUUGAAGACUAACUACUGCGAAAGCAUUUGCCAAGGAUGUUUUUCAUUAAUCAAGAACGAAAGUUAGGGGAUCGAAGACGAUCAGAUACCGUCGUAGUCUUAACCAUAAACUAUGCCGACUAGGGAUCGGAUGAUGUUAAUUUUUUUCAAUGACUCAUUCGGCGCC